AGAGAGAGAGAGAGAGAGCUCUUUUUCUAUAGGAAGUUAUUUAUGGGUAAAAAUUGUGUUUCUUGGGGGGAAAAAACGAAGGAAUUGGAUUAGGCUAUAGUGGCUUGACUGAAAAUUAGAAUUAAGUUCAUUUAUCUCUUGAUACAAAUGUAAUUUCCAACGUAGCAAGUUUUGCUACUUAUGUUUUCAAGUAUGCUCUGCUUUAUAUAGAUGUGUAGAUUUUGCUUUGUUUUGUGUGAUUUUCUUGGGGGCUUAAAUUCACAAUGGUCAUUUGGCAUUUUCAAUCAUCAUGUGUCUCUUCGCCUAGAGGCUGCUUGGCCAAGAAAUUAUUGGAUAAAAUGCUAAAGAGUGUAUUCAUAUGGAGUUUUUGACAAAUAAUAAGAGGAAGAUUUUGUAUUUAUGCGAG
rnacentral:misc_RNA from 1 species